rnacentral:tRNA from 1 species
UGCAGCUCAGUGGUAGAGUGCUUGCCUUGCAUGCAUGAAGCCCUGGGUUCAAUUCCUCAGCA